UACGAAGGGGGCUAGCGUUGCUCGGAAUUACUGGGCGUAAAGCGCACGUAGGCGGAUUGUUAAGUCGGGGGUGAAAUCCUGGAGCUCAACUCCAGAACUGCCUUCGAUACUGGCGAUCUCGAGUUCGGGAGAGGUGAGUGGAACUGCGAGUGUAGAGGUGAAAUUCGUAGAUAUUCGGAAGAACACCAGUGGCGAAGGCGACUCACUGGACAUGUAUUGACGCUGAGGUGCGAAAGCGUGGGGAGCAAACAGG
rnacentral:rRNA from 1 species